GGAGGGGUGGCCGAGUGGACGAAGGCGAGCGAUUCGAAAUCGCUUAGGGGAGUAAAAUCCCCUCGGGGGUUCGAAUCCCUCCCCCUCCG
rnacentral:tRNA from 1 species